GGAAUUGUAGCUCAGUGGUAGAGCACUUGUCUUGCAAGUGUGAGGCACUGGGUUCGAUCCUAGCCCCA
rnacentral:tRNA from 1 species